rnacentral:tRNA from 2 species
GUCACGAAUGGCGCGUCGGACUGCGCGAUCCGCUUGCGCCGGAGCGACUGCUGGGCGUGGUCACGCUCAGUGACGGGGUUGUGGCG